rnacentral:rRNA from 1 species
UACGGAGGGGCAAGCGUUGUCCGGACUUACUGGGCGUAAAGGGUGCGUAGGCGGUCUUGUGCGUCGGUGCUGAAAGCGCCCGGCUUAACCGGCGAGGCGUGCCGAUACGACAAGACUUGAGGGCAGCGAGGGUGCGGAACUCCUGGUGUAGUGGUGAAAUGCGUAGAGAUCCGGAAGAACACCUGAGGCGAAGGCGGCUUGCUGGCAUGAUCUGACGCUGAGGCGCGAAAGCGUGGGAGCAAACAGG